CGUUAACUUUGUACAUUGGUAUGUAAAUCAAGAGUUACACAUGCAAUUAAUAGUUAAAAUUUGAAAUUAAAAUUAAAUUUUGUUUUUGAAUGGAAUGGACUGAAUUCACCUAAGACUUAAAUAUAUAUCCGCCAGACUUUCAAUUGCUUAAAAUAAUUAUUGUGAUAAACGGUCGAACAGAAAAAAAAAACACAGAACAAACAGCCAAGCCAAAUUAGUUUACACGAUUUUUUGUUCCAUUUUUACAACAUCCGAACAACCGUUUCUAUUGCUCUAAAAAAACCUUUUACUAACUUCGUC